UAAAUCUUCUGGUCCCCAAGCCGGUAAACGACCGAGAGAACCGGUUUGGGUCGACACACACCGGCGGUGUCGAUCGGUCCAGUUGCAGGUUGAACCGCAGCAGCGGAGGGGGCGCUGUUGAGCUACUGAAUCCAGAAAUCUGGUUGGGCUAGUGCAGAACGAACAAGUUCCUGGAGCCAUUGUGAUGUGCAGCUUCCAGCAGACGUCUCCAGAGGCCGCCCACUUUCACGUCCUGAGAAGGAAUGUCAAGCAGGCCAUGGGUUUAAAAAUCUGUGACACACACAUAAAUGACACACCAUGUGUCCUUUUCCAUUUCAUGGCAGGAAUGGGCUUCCAUAGACUGAUACACCAGCACUAGUGAUUUAGAAUAUCAUCCUUCUGUUGUUCAGAAGUGCUUCCAAAAGUGAAACCUUUAACUCCUGUGUGCAGGAGCGGCCAUAUUGGGAAACUGUUGGAGCUGGAAGUCCCACCUGGCUAGAAUAGUGAUCUAAGGUCAGCACACACUCCCCCAAAACCUGCCUGACUCUGCAUGAAGACAGUCAAACCUUAAUGUGCCCCAGUGACAACACUUUUAGACACACCCGAGAGGAACUGGUCUACUUUAGGAUUUCACACGGGGAACGUCACCUUUUCACCACGGAGUACUCAUGCAGAACACAUGAAAUGAUUUUCCUCUUUCACUUGUUUAAAAACAGCUGAAGGCAACAUCUUUAAACAUUCUCAUGGAAAACAAAUUACAGACAUCCAUCUUUUUUUAAACAAAUUGAUUUAUUAUGCAACCAAAUCCCUUACACACACUCAUUCACGCACGCACACACACUUAAAUACAUGAUGUGGUGGAACUUCGGCAUAGUGGACGCUGCAGUUGCACAUGCUUCAGUAAAACUAUAGAUAUAUUUACAGAAUAAAUCAUUUCUAUGAAGAAAACACAAGAACGGCUCUUAGUCCCACCCCGCAGCGCUUCCAAAUGCUUCUCUUUAUUUUUUGGAAAACUCCCACAUUUAAAAAGAGCUUAAAAAACAAACAAAACAAAAACACACAUACACACUAACAAUGGGGUUUUGGCCGAUACGACGCAGCGUUUCAUGUGUAUGGAGUUUACCUACUACAUAAAUAUGGCAGUAACACUGAGCAACUUAUUUGAUCUAUGUACAAGGUUCAUGAAGUGGGGAAAUACUUCAGUGUGUGUGGACAACAUAUGCCUUCUUUAGGUCUGGGGGACCUGAUCUAGAGAAAACCCGACACCCGUCUCUCUCUCUCAGCCUCCGUUCGACCGGUCAGCACUGACACAACAAACUAAAUAAGGCACAAUUAAUACUUGGACCAUUUUAGAUAAAUCUACACACUAACAGCUGGCUUGUGAGGCAUGUAAACAAUUAGAGUUGAUUGAUGUCUCAUCACACUCCUGCUCGGGUUUCCAAGUCCAGUCCAUCCGAUGACCUCAAAACAAACCACAAGGACCUCUAACCCCCAAAACACGAGAAAGGGUUUCCCUCUAUGCUACUUAACAAUCACAUGGGCAAACAGAAAGAACUAGUAGUGCAAACACUACAAACACAACAGGAAACGGCGACGCCACCUUCAGGCCACAGAAGCGACGCGCUAACGAGAGGAAAACGAUCCAGACAAUAACAGAUGAUCCGUAAACUCCUGAAAGCCCAACAGGUGCAGAUGCUAUGUGACUAAAUCAAAGAUAAAAGGAGAGAAGAGGCUUCCCUCUCCCACUCCAAGGAUCCUCCCAGACUAAUGUGUGUUUGAUCGGAACAUUCCCAAUCCGACGGUCCACACUGGGACGAACCACUGAAGAGACUUUCAGGUCUAACGGCACUGGUCACGCUUGCCCCCCAGACACAUCAGAAGAUCCUCCCUAAAGGUUCCAGGUUGCUCUGUUGAUGGUAACCUUCGCAGGAUGAGGGGGUGGGGGGUCUGACACUCAGUCCUCCCCGGCCAAAACAGCUGCAGACACAGACAGAUUCAGUGGGGCUGGAGAGCAGGGCAUUAUGGGUAAAUGGGUGGGACAGAGCAGGAGGGGAGGAAGCCUGUUGCAGCUGCUUGGGGCUUCUGGCUUUGGUUAAUGCAGUGGAAAGUGCUCAGUCGUGCUUUAGGUGGUCCUUGAUGUCCUCCUCAUCUGUGUAUUCUGACGGUUCGUCUCCAGGCUUCAGCAACCUUCCAACAUAAUCGUAUUUUUCUGAAAACACAACAAACGUAUUUUAUAUAUAAUCAAGUUUAAUAAAAGUGGCAGUGUGUUGUGUUCCUGCCACUAGGGGGCAGCACAUACACACAUUUCUGGGUAGUUUUACACCAUAUAAUCGUGACUGUCGCUAGUUUAAAAAAACAAUACGGUAAAUGUUACCUCAGUGUGCUUGGGGUCCUGCACCUGCCGAUGACAUCAUACUACGGAAAUACCACUCGGCUAAAAUGUAUUGCAUCCCUUUUUGAUUCUGUUCUUUUACACAGAUUUCAAAAAAAGUUUAGCAGUUUUGUUAUUGAAUUUGUGUUUCUUACUGCCUAAAUAUUUUUGAACGUGGUAACGUAACUUCAGGAAGUUGUACGUCUAGCCACUCAUCUAAUGUGACAUCAUCAACAGGCACAGGAGCCCAAGCCGGCCAGAAGGAAACAUGGCGUCUAAUAUGGCGCCCCCCAAAGGCGCUAGACCCAUGGACUAUGCAGUUUAGACUUGAUAUUUUUUUGGUUAUGUUACGAAGCCGCCAAUACUUUUCAACUACUGGACAUUUUACUCAUUUCCAACAUUUUGAUGGACAUUUCCAGAGAAUAAAGGUAAAAAUAUACAGUUACUUUAAACUUAUUUUCAUUUACUGCAACCAGUAAGGGAAUCUGGAGCUUUUAUAAUUUAGAUUUGAUGCUGUAAUUUGAGACAACUUGUGUUGUAAACAGGAUGAAGACGAGGCUCAAGGACAGUCUUACACAUAUUACAUAUUCAGUGUAUUCUGUCUUUUUUCAGCCCAUGUGGCAACAGCACUUGUUAGUUUAGUCUGAUCUGACGCGAGAUAUUUCUGUUGAAACUUAAGCGGUCAGUUGGGUUACCAGGUUAAAGUACCUCAAAUACCAAUUCUACAAUUAUUCUGGUUUCAGCUUAAAGAUAAUAAUUAACGCUCCUGUGUGAAUGAGCUAAGCAGCAGCUUCACGUCUACAGGAGGACUAAAACUAGUCAUUAGGGCUAGUGAGCUAAAUAAAGUUAAAGAGCGUCACCCCCAAAUCAACUUUUUUUCCUGAUAAACUAUAUAAAUGCGUGUCUAAUCGUGCUGCAGACAUGUGUAGUCAAUUGUUUAGCACUUUAGUGCAUUUUAGUUAAAAUCUUAAUUUUCUGCCUAAACGGUCAGUGUUGUGCCAUUGUCAGGUAAAAAUUCUGCAUUUGAAUUCAAAUCUGUCAUCGCUAUUGGCUAAGAGGUACCUUAGAACGUUAGCUGGUACCAUAUGAUGUCACAAUGUCGCCGUGAGUCUGUGUGUGUGUAUUUGUUAGCGGCUCCGCCAUCUCAGUCUGCUAGGCAACAGCAUUCGUUGCAUUUUUCAAACAGGAAGUGGGAGUGGAGUAAUACUCUGGUAGGGGGUGACUUGCUCUUUAACAUUUAUCUUCAACUAAAUAUAUGACUUUCUUUUCUUUAUUAAUCUAGUUGUUUUUGUACAAUUAACUAAAUUAAAACAAAUGAAAAUACAUGUUCUCUCCUUUAAAAGGAACAUAAUCAAACCACACUCAUUUAAGUUAUAAUCAACAUAAAAAACAAGUCAGUCAGGUUUACCAGAAUUAAAAUGCAUACCUUUAGAUGUCUCUGCAGGAUCUGCAUCAAAGCAGCACUCAGUGAGCAGCUUAUUUAUUAGCUAUAAACCAAAUGUAAAAGCUUACCCAUGAACUGCAUCUCCCAUUCCCUCACACUCUCCAUCUGUACAGCGCUGAGAUCAGAUAGGUCGUCGUAUUCGUCCCUCAGGGCGUUCUUCUCUAGGCAGAAUGUGGCCAGGCCCCUCGAAGCAUCCCGCCCAGCAAAAAUACCAUAAGGGCCGUCUGAAAGGAAAAAACAACACCCGUCAAUAAGACCUGAAAAAGAAGAACUCCUUCUUGUGUUUUUCCCAGAAAGAGCAUCAGUAUGAGCUUCACAACAAGAAGUUUGAUUUGUUUAUUCUGUUAAUUCCUUAAACACACAACGGCUGUUUGGUGUAAUUCCUUGUUUACUGAAGCUUUUAACAUGUUGUUUGGUCUUAACUAUAGUGAAAGCCCUCUGCUUUACUUAUUUAAUGAAUAAUUUUAUGUGAAAAUUUCUUACAGGAGUAGAAGGUGACGCCAGCUGGUCUGACUGAGCUCCGCACAGGUUUCACAAGCAUGAAAAACAUUUCAUUAAAACAUCUUUAGUCAUGUUCAAGCCAUCAUCUGACUCCCACGUGAAAAAUCAGAGCUUUGU